rnacentral:rRNA from 1 species
UGCAGUCGACGGCAGCACAGAGGAGCUUGCUCCUUGGGUGGCGAGUGGCGGACGGGUGAGGAAUACAUCGGAAUCUACUCUGUCGUGGGGGAUAACGUAGGGAAACUUACGCUAAUACCGCAUACGACCUACGGGUGAAAGCAGGGGAUCUUCGGACCUUGCGCGAUUGAAUGAGCCGAUGUCGGAUUAGCUAGUUGGCGGGGUAAAGGCCCACCAAGGCGACGAUCCGUAGCUGGUCUGAGAGGAUGAUCAGCCACACUGGAACUGAGACACGGUCCAGACUCCUACGGGAGGCAGCAGUGGGGAAUAUUGGACAAUGGGCGCAAGCCUGAUCCAGCCAUACCGCGUGGGUGAAGAAGGCCUUCGGGUUGUAAAGCCCUUUUGUUGGGAAAGAAAUCCAGCUGGCUAAUACCCGGUUGGGAUGACGGUACCCAAAGAAUAAGCACCGGCUAACUUCGUGCCAGCAGCCGCGGUAAUACGAAGGGUGCAAGCGUUACUCGGAAUUACUGGGCGUAAAGCGUGCGUAGGUGGUCGUUUAAGUCCGUUGUGAAAGCCCUGGGCUCAACCUGGGAACUGCAGUGGAUACUGGGCGACUAGAGUGUGGUAGAGGGUAGCGGAAUUCCUGGUGUAGCAGUGAAAUGCGUAGAGAUCAGGAGGAACAUCCUUGGCGA